GGCGGGAUGGCAGAGUGGUUAUGCAGCGGCCUGCAAAGCCGUUGACCUCGGUUCGAUUCCGGGUCCCGCCUCCA
rnacentral:tRNA from 1 species